UUGAACGCUGGCGGAAUGCUUUACACAUGCAAGUCGAGCGGCAGCGCGGGGGCAACCCUGGCGGCGAGCGGCGAACUGGUGAGUAAUACAUCGGAACGUACCCAGUUGUGGGGGAUAGCCCGGCGAAAGCCGGAUUAAUACCGCAUAAGUCCUGAGGGAGAAAGCGGGGGACCGCAAGGCCUCGCGCGAUUGGAGCGGCCGAUGUCAGAUUAGCUAGUUGGUGGGGUAAAGGCCUACCAAGGCGACGAUCUGUAGCUGGUCUGAGAGGACGACCAGCCACACUGGGACGGAGACACGGCCCAGACUCCUACGGGAGGCAGCAGUGGGGAAUUUUGGACAAUGGGGGCAACCCUGAUCCAGCCAGGCCGCGUGAGUGAAGAAGGCCUUCGGGUUGUAAAGCUCUUGCGGCAGGAACGAAACGGUGUGGGCCAAUACCCUGCAGCAAUGACGGUACCUGAAGAAGAAGCACCGGCUAACUACGU
rnacentral:rRNA from 1 species